rnacentral:rRNA from 1 species
CCUACGGGUGGCAGCAGUAGGGAAUAUUGCUCAAUGGGGGAAACCCUGAAGCAGCAACGCCGCGUGGAGGACGAAGGCUCUCGGAGUGGAAACUUCUUUUGGUAGCGAGGAUAAUGACGUUAUGUCACGGAUAAGCACCGUCUAACUCCGUGCCAGCAGCCGCGGUAAUACGGAGGCUGCAGGCGUUACUCGGAAUCACUGGGCGUAAAGCGCGCGUAGGCGGGUUAGCAAGUCAGAGGUGAAAUACUAGUGCUUAACCAUAGAGCUGCAUUUGAAACUGUUAGUCUAGAGUAUGGGAGAGGUAGGUGGAAUGCUUGGUGUAGCGGUAAAAUUCGUAGAGAUCA